rfam:Myotis brandtii contig263736, whole genome shotgun sequence.
GGCUGUUCUCAGGUGAUGCCCCCCGGAAUCAGGCCCCCUCCUCUCUGGUUCUAGGAUGCGUCACCCGAGAACUGCC